ensembl:lncRNA
GUUGGUUUUGUCUUAUUUCCCGUGUCUGUAGCUAGCUAUGCAGCUACUGUAGGUACCUAACGUCGAGUUAAAGUGUACUCCAUUUGGCUAUGUGCACAUCUACCUACUUGGGUGCUUUGGUUAUACAGUCGUAUUUAAUGUUACACUUCUCAACUUAAAAAAAAUUAUAAUCAUUGGUGCCCUUACAUACGGCGACGAUAAAUGCGGUUUCAUUGCGCUUAGUCGCUAAUUUUGGUUAACUUCCGAGAUCGUUUCAGAACUCCGUUGUCCCCGUGUAAAGUGGAGGAAGAAGCGUAUGCGCAGGCUGAAGCGUAAAAGGCGAAAGAUGAGGCAGAGGUCCAAGUAGACUGACCCCCAUUUCCUGCUGCUGUGAUCCCCUCCCAAGCCCUCUGAAGCCUGCGGUCCUUGUGCCACAGCCGGUCCAAGGUUGUCUAAAGCUGACCUCACUGCAACUGACUAAAGGACUGAUCGUGGCUACCCAGCCCUCUAGUUUGCCAAUGGUGUAUUGCUGUCUUGACUACUGGAGUAUGCGGAGAACUUGAAUUCCCAUGUCAAACUCUGGAUUGUCCACCUUCCUAGAACAGCUGAUUUGGAAAGACUAAAAUAAAUCUUUGGUUUACUAAUUA